UACAGAGGGUGCGAGCGUUGUUCGGAAUUACUGGGCGUAAAGCGCGUGUAGGCGGAUGAGCAAGUCUGCUGUGAAAGCUCCUGGCUUAACCGGGAGUGGUCGGUGGAAACUGCUCGUCUGGAGGACGGUAGAGGCUGGUGGAAUUCCCGGUGUAGUGGUGAAAUGCGUAGAGAUCGGGAGGAACACCUGUGGCGAAGGCGGCCAGCUGGGCCGGGCCUGACGCUGAGACGCGAAGGCGUGGGGAGCGAACGGG
rnacentral:rRNA from 1 species